UUGCAUUGCUUGUUCAUCUGACGAUACAAUUCAGAGUCUGCACUCCGGCGAGCCCGCGUCAGAUUGAUCCAACGGCUGUUUCCAGCGUCUCGCCGAAGCAACGUCGAGUUGCCAAGGGUGGAGUCCUGUGAGGAGCUCGGUAAUGAUCCUUCCGCAGGUUCACUGUGAGCGUUAGCUGAGUUACGAAGUAAGAAUUCGACAUACCCUACGGAAA
rnacentral:misc_RNA from 1 species